rnacentral:rRNA from 1 species
GGAUGACACAGUAGGAUAAGCUAAGCACACUGUUGGUUAUGUGUGCCCAAGCAUUGAGGCAGUCAAAGUAGGCAAAUCCGCUUUGAUAAUGCUGGGAUGUGAUGGGGAGCGAAAUUUAGUAGCGAAGUAGCUGAUUUCACACUGUCAAGAAAAGUCUCUAUCGAGGUUAAAGGUACCCGUACCGCAAACCGACACAGGUGGGUGAGGAGAGUAUCCUAAGGCCAGCGAGAGAACUGUUGUUAAGGAACUCGGCAAAAUGACCCCGUAACUUAGGGAUAAGGGGUGCCACCAUCAGGUGGCCGCAGAGAAUAGGCCCAAGCGACUGUUUACCAAAAACAUAGGUUUCUGCUAAGUCGCAAGACGAUGUAUAGGAGCUGACGCCUGCCCGGUGCUGGAAGGUUAAGGGGAUCUGUUAGAGCAAUCGAAGCAGUGAACUUAAGCCCCAGUAAACGGCGGCCGUAACUAUAACGGUCCUAAGGUAGCGAAAUUCCUUGUCGGGUAAGUUCCGACCCGCACGAAAGGCGUAACGAUUUGGGCACUGUCUCAACAACAGACUCGGUGAAAUUGUAAUUCCGGUGAAGAUGCCGGAUACCUGCGACAGGACGGAAAGACCCCAUGGAGCUUUACUGUAGCUUGACAUUGGGUCUUGGUACUACAUGUACAGGAUAGGUGGGAGGCUUUGAAACCAGGACGCCAGUUUUGGCGGAGCCAUCCUUGGGAUACCACCCUUGUAGUACUGGGACUCUAACCAUAGGCCAUGAAUCUGGUCUUGGGACACUGUCAGGUGGGCAGUUUGACUGGGGCGGGCGCCUCCCAAAAGGUAACGGAGGCGCUCAAAGGUUCUCUCAGUACGGUCGGAAAUCGUACGUAGAGUGUAAAGGCAAAAGAGAGCUUGAUUGCAAGACAUACAGGUCGAGCAAGGAUGAAAAUCGGACUUAGUGAUCCGGUGGUUCUGCGUGGAAGGGCCAUCGCUCAACGGAUAAAAGCUACCCUGGGGAUAACAGGCUUAUCUCCCCCAAGAGUCCACAUCGACGGGGAGGUUUGGCACCUCGAUGUCGGCUCAUCACAUCCUGGGGCUGUAGUAGGUCCCAAGGGUUGGGCUGUUCGCCCAUUAAAGUGGUACGCGAGCUGGGUUCAGAACGUCGUGAGACAGUUCGGUCCCUAUCCGUCGCAGGCGUAGGAAAUUUGAGAAGACCUGUCCUUAGUACGAGAGGACCGGGAUGGACGUACCUCUGGUGUACCAGUUGUCCUGCCAAGGGCAUGGCUGGGUAGCUAUGUACGGAAUGGAUAAGCGCUGAAAGCAUCUAAGCGCGAAGCCAACUUCAAGAUAAGAUUUCCCACCGCAAGGGUAAGACCCCAGAAAGACUAUCUGGUUGAUAGGUCGAAGGUGUAAGUGCAGCAAUGUAUUUAGCUUAUCGAUACUAAUAGGUCGAGGACUUGACC